UCCGGAAUGGAUGAAACCACCCU
rnacentral:snRNA from 1 species